UGUAAGAACACAGUCACUGAAGGUGGAGAUGAUUGAUGCUUUAUUCAAGCCUUUGGCUGACGGGGUUGAUGAUGGUAUCAUGCGUGAACUGCUCUUAGACUUCUACCUGUCAAGCAGUGGACGCAAGCCGACUCAGAUAAUUGUUUUUUGGGAUGGAGUGAGCGAGUCACAGUUCAAUCAAGUUUUAAA